CCGUAACUAUAACGGUCCUAAGGUAGCGAAAUUCCUUGUCGGGUAAGUUCCGACCUGCACGAAUGGCAUAAUGAUGGCCAGGCUGUCUCCACCCGAGACUCAGUGAAAUUGAAAUCGCCGUGAAGAUGCGGUGUACCCGCGGCUAGACGGAAAGACCCCGUGAACCUUUACUAUAGCUUGACACUGAACAUUGAAUUUUGAUGUGUAGGAUAGGUGGGAGACUUAGAAGUAGUCACGCCAGUGAUUAUGGAGUCGUCCUUGAAAUACCACCCUUUAACGUUUGAUGUUCUAACGAAGAUUGCGGAACGCGGUCUCGGACAGUGUCUGGUGGGUAGUUUGACUGGGGCGGUCUCCUCCCAAAGAGUAACGGAGGAGCACGAAGGUUUGCUAAUGACGGUCGGACAUCGUCAGGUUAGUGCAAUGGUAUAAGCAAGCUUAACUGCGAGACAGACAAGUCGAGCAGGUACGAAAGUAGGUCAUAGUGAUCCGGUGGUUCUGAAUGGAAGGGCCAUCGCUCAACGGAUAAAAGGUACUCCGGGGAUAACAGGCUGAUACCGCCCAAGAGUUCAUAUCGACGGCGGUGUUUGGCACCUCGAUGUCGGCUCAUCACAUCCUGGGGCUGAAGUAGGUCCCAAGGGUAUGGCUGUUCGCCAUUUAAAGUGGUACGCGAGCUGGGUUUAGAACGUCGUGAGACAGUUCGGUCCCUAUCUGCCGUGGGCGUUGGAGAAUUGGUUGGGGCUGCUCCUAGUACGAGAGGACCGGAGUGGACGCACCACUGGUGUUCCGGUUGUGUCGCCAGACGCAUUGCCGGGUAGCUAAGUGCGGAAGAGAUAAGUGCUGAAAGCAUCUAAGCACGAAACUUGCCAAGAGAUGAGUUCUCCC
rnacentral:rRNA from 1 species